UGGGGAAUAUUGGACAAUGGGCGAAAGCCUGAUCCAGCCAUGCCGCGUGUGUGAAGAAGGUCUUCGGAUUGUAAAGCACUUUAAGUUGGGAGGAAGGGCAGUUACCUAAUACGUGAUUGUUUUGACGUUACCGACAGAAUAAGCACCGGCUAACUCUGUGCCAGCAGCCGCGGUAAUACAGAGGGUGCAAGCGUUAAUCGGAAUUACUGGGCGUAAAGCGCGCGUAGGUGGUUUGUUAAGUUGGAUGUGAAAUCCCCGGGCUCAACCUGGGAACUGCAUUCAAAACUGACUGACUAGAGUAUGGUAGAGGGUGGUGGAAUUUCCUGUGUAGCGGUGAAAUGCGUAGAUAUAGGAAGGAACACCAGUGGCGAAGGCGACCACCUGGACUGAUACUGACACUGAGGUGCGAAAGCGUGGGGAGCAAACAGGAUUAGAUACCCCGGUAGUCCCUGAGCGGGCUGGCAAGGCGCAU
rnacentral:rRNA from 1 species